CCUACGGGGGGCAGCAGUAGGGAAUUUUCGUCAAUGGGGGGAACCCUGAACGAGCAAUGCCGCGUGAGUGAAGAAGGUCUUCGGAUCGUAAAGCUCUGUUGUAGGAGAAAAACGGGUAUCAUAGGGAAUGAUGAUAUCGUGAUGGUAUCUUACCAGAAAGCCACGGCUAACUACGUGCCAGCAGCCGCGGUAAUCCGUAGGUGGCAAGCGUUAUCCGGAAUGAUUGGGCGUAAGGGGUGCGUAGGCGGCAAAAUAAGUCUGAAGUAAAAGGCGUGGGCUAAACCAACGUAAGCAUUGGAAACUGGUAAGCUAGCAGGCAGGAGAGGACAGUGGAAUUCCAUGUGUAGCGGUAAAAUGCGUAGAUAUAUGGAGGAACACCAGUGGCGAAGGCGGCUAACUGGCCUGUAACGGACGCUGAGGCACGAAAGCGUGGGGAGCAAAUAGGAUUAGAUACCCGAGUAGUC
rnacentral:rRNA from 1 species